CCUACGGGAGGCAGCAGUGAGGAAUAUUGGUCAAUGGACGAGAGUCUGAACCAGCCAAGUAGCGUGAAGGAUGACUGCCCUAUGGGUUGUAAACUUCUUUUAUAUGGGAAUAAAACAGGGUAUGCAUACCCUCUUGUAUGUACCAUCUGAAUAAGGAUCGGCUAACUCCGUGCCAGCUGCCGCGGUAAUACGGAGGAUCCGAUCGUUAUCCGGCGUUAUUCGGUUUAAAGGGAGCGUAGGUGGAUUGUUAAUGCCAUUGUGAACGUUUGCGGCUCAAGCGUAAAAUUGCAGAUGAAACUGGCAGUCGUGAGUACAGUAGAGGUGGGCGGAAUGCGUGGGGGAGCGGUGAAAUGCUUAGAUAUCACGAAGAACUCCGAUUGCGAAGGCAGCUCACUGGACUGCAACUGACACUGAUGCUCGAAAGUGUGGGUAUCAAACAGGAUUAGAUACCCUAGUAGUC
rnacentral:rRNA from 1 species